rnacentral:rRNA from 1 species
GACGAACGCUGGCGGCGUGCCUAAUACAUGCAAGUCGAGCGAAGCGGCGGAUGGGUGAGUAACGCGUGGGUAACCUGCCCUUAAGUCUGGGAUACCAUUUGGAAACAGAUGCUAAUACAGGAUAAUUAGGGAUGGCACUGCGAUGCAUUAGCUCGGUGGUAAGGGAACGGCUUAACAAGGCGAUGAUGCAGAGCGGAGGUGAUGGACUGAUCAGCCACAUUGGGACGUAUACACGGCCCAAACUGCUACGGGAGGCAGCAGUAGGGAAUCUUCCACAAUGGACGAAAGUCUGAUGGAGCAACGCCGCGUGAGUGAAGAAGGUUUUAGGAUCGUAAAGCUCUGUUGUUGGUGAAGCGGUAAUCAACCAGAAAGUCACGGCUAACUACGUGCCAGCAGCCGCGGUAAUUC